AUUGAACGCUGGCGGCAUGCCUAACACAUGCAAGUCGAACGGUAACAUGAAGAGGCUUGCUUCUUUGCUUACGAGUGGCGGACGGGUGAGUAAUGUCUGUGAAACUGCCUGAUGGAGGGGGAUAACUACUGGAACCGGUAGCUAAUACCGCAUAACUUCGCAAGACCAAGGAGGGGGACCUUCGGGCCUCUUGCCAUCGGAUGUGCCCAGAUGGGAUUAGCUAGUAGGUGGGGUAACGGCUCACCUAGGCAACGAUCCCUAGCUGGUCUGAGAGGAUGACCGGCCACACUGGAACUGAGACACGGUCCAGACUCCUACGGGAGGCAGCAGUAGGGAAUAUUGCGCAAUGGGCGAAAGCCUGAUGCAGCAACGCCGCGUGUAUGAUGAAGGUCUUCGGAUCGUAAAACACUGUUAGCAGGGAGGAAGGAAGUAAUGUGAAACUAUUCACUCAUUGACGUUACCCGAACAAGAAGCACCGGCUAACUCCGUG
rnacentral:rRNA from 1 species